CAGUCCACAUCCUUAUAACCCUGACUUUCAAAUAAGAAAAUAAAAUCAGAAUAAGUAAACACUUUCCAGAACACUCUUAAAGCAUGGAAGUAAUGCAGCAGACUUGUGAAACUUAGCAUCCAAUUUAUAGACAGAGAAAUGAAACCAAUUCAGGAUUUAAAUUCAAAAAUUUGAACCAUGGAGGGAAAAAAAUAAAAGAUCAUUGUGUAUAUAACACUCACUUUGAAAUCAAUCAAAAGUGGAAUUGAUAUAUUCAUUCGAUGGUAUAUUUCUUAAGGGAAUAGAUACAUAUAAGGACCAGGCUAGAAAGAAGGAUGAGCACUGAUGAUGAGG